CCGGGGUGAGUAACGCGUGGGUGACCUGCCCCAUACCGGGGGACAACAGCUGGAAACGGCUGCUAAUACCGCAUAAGCGCACAGAGCUGCAUGGCUCAGUGUGAAAAACUCCGGUGGUAUGGGAUGGGCCCGCGUCUGAUUAGGCAGUUGGCGGGGUAACGGCCCACCAAACCGACGAUCAGUAGCCGGCCUGAGAGGGCGACCGGCCACAUUGGGACUGAGACACGGCCCAA
rnacentral:rRNA from 1 species